UGGGUAACCUGCCCAAGAGAUCGGGAUAACACCUGGAAACAGAUGCUAAUACCGGAUAACAACAGAUGAUGCCUAUCAACUGUUUAAAAGAUGGUUCUGCUAUCACUCUUGGAUGGACCUGCGGUGCAUUAGCUAGUUGGUAGGGUAACGGCCUACCAAGGCGAUGAUGCAUAGCCGAGUUGAGAGACUGAUCGGCCACAUUGGGACUGAGACACGGCCCAAACUCCUACGGGAGGCAGUAGAA
rnacentral:rRNA from 1 species